rnacentral:rRNA from 1 species
UACAGAGGGGGGCAAGCGUUGUUCGGAAUUACUGGGCGUAAAGGGCGCGUAGGCGGCCCGCUAAGUCGAACGUGAAAUCCCCGGGCUCAACCUGGGAAUGGCAUUUGGGACUGCAAGGCUUGAGUGCGGCAGAGGAGACUGGAAUUCCUGGUGUAGCAGUGAAAUGCGUAGAUAUCAGGGAGGAAUAGCCGAUGGGCGAAGGCAGGUCUCUGGG